UACGAAGGGGGCUAGCGUUGCUCGGAAUCACUGGGCGUAAAGGGUGCGUAGGCGGGGCUUUAAGUCAGGGGUGAAAUCCUGGAGCUCAACUCCAGAACUGCCUUUGAUACUGAAGAUCUUGAGUUCGGGAGAGGUGAGUGAAACUGCGAGUGUAGAGGUGAAAUUCGUAGAUAUUCGCAAGAACACCAGUGGCGAAGGCGGCUCACUGGCCCGAUACUGACGCUGAGGCACGAAAGCGUGGGGAGCAAACAGG
rnacentral:rRNA from 1 species